GAUGAACGCUGGCGGCGUGCCUAAUACAUGCAAGUCGAGCGAACGGACGAGAAGCUUGCUUCUCUGAUGUUAACGGCGGACGGGUGAGUAACACGUGGAUAACCUACCUAUAAGACUGGGAUAACUUCGGGAAACCGGAGCUAAUACCGGAUAAUAUUUUGAACCGCAUGGUUCAAAAGUAAAAGACGGUCUUGCUGUCACUUAUAGAUGGAUCCGCGCUGCAUUAGCUAGUUGGUAAGGUAACGGCUUACCAAGGCAACGAUGCAUAGCCGACCUGAGAGGGUGAUCGGCCACACUGGAACUGAGACACGGUCCAGACUCCUACGGGAGGCAGCAGUAGGGAAUCUUCCGCAAUGGGCGAAAGCCUGGCGGAGCAACGCCGCGUGAGUGAUGAAGGUCUUCGGAUCGUAAAACUCUGUUAUUAGGGAAGAACAUAUGUGUAAGUAACUGUGCACAUCUUGACGGUACCUAAUCAGAAAGCCACGGCUAACUACGUG
rnacentral:rRNA from 1 species